rnacentral:lncRNA from 1 species
CGGGGAGGGGAGAAGCGGGGAGGCGGGGGCCGCCAUCGCGCCGCUGAGGGGAGCGAGCGCCGCCGUCGGGGGGUCGCUGCCGCUCGCCCCGCUGAGGCGCUGGGGCGGAGGCUCCCGCAGGACCCCGCCGUUGUCUCUUCCCUUCCUUCCCCGGCCGGGCGGACCCCUCGGGCGUCGAGCAAUUAUUGUCUUGGUUAUGAGCCAGUGCUUCGUGUUUCAGAAUUCUUCAUUUUGAAUUUUUAAUAAAAUUGAAGAUGUUCAGUACAGAUCCCCUAACAAACCUGAAUAAAAAUAGCAGAAAUUGUCCUGCUGGUAACCUUUAUCCCGUUGAACUGGAAACCUCCAGUGUAUUUUGGUUGCUGUACUGAAGAAUGUCCUUGCUCUCACCAGGAGAUGAAGACGAACCGGAGCGUUUCGAUGGUCUUUCUCUCUUAUACUGGACAAUUAUGGGCCCUCAUGGAAUCAAUCGAGCUGUUCACCGCAUUUCUUUUUCUGAUUGUCAGAAUGGAUUAGGAGUUAAAAUUAUUGGAGGUUACCGGGCACAAACUGCAGAAGAUUAUGGGAUUUUCAUAAAGAGAAUUCUACCUGGAGGUGUUGCUGCUGUAGAUAGCCGUUUGCUCACGGGAGACCUCAUUUUGGAUGUCAAUGGAGAAAACUUAAUUGGAGUAACCAAUGAAAGGGCCGUUGACAUCUUGCGAACAGCUUCAGCAUCUAAUCACAUGUCUCUGCUAGUUGCCAGAGAUGAAGAAGCAAAGAAAGAGUUUCUUGACCUGAUGGAUAAGUAUGGCUCUCACAGUGACACCAACUCUGCAAGAAGUUCUCCAACACAGCUAUUAGCUGGAAAACCUGUAGACAGCCUUUCGUCUGGGGCAUCCUCAAGGUCACAGAGUCCUCAAUUGCAUCCAAAGGAUAUUAUUACCACCAUUAGCAGAAAUAAUUCUGUCCCUGCGCCAUCACCAAAGCUUCCAAAGGAUAGUGCAUUUCAGAUUAUCUCUGUUUGCAAGGGAACAAGCCUAGGUUUGAAUAUUGUUGGAGGAAUUGACAGAAAUGAAGGGCCUUUGGUAUACGUUCAAGAAAUUAUUCCUGGUGGUGACUGUCAUAAGGAUGGACGAUUGCAGCCUGGAGAUCAACUAGUAUCCAUAAACAAAGAGUCAAUGAUUGGCAUCUCCUAUGAAGAAGCAAAAAGUAUAAUCAACAGAGCAAAGAUGAGGUUUGAAAGUUUUUGGGAGAUAGCUUUUAUAAGACAAAAAAAUAUUCCCAGUUAUUCAGAGAAUCUGCCACGUCCUUCCAGUCUCUUAACAUCUUCUGGAACAUAUGGAGGACAACAAGCUGCAGUCCUUAGUCCUCUAGCGUCUCCUGAUGGGAAGCUUGUUUCAACAGUCACUCCUAAUGCUGUGACUGGCAUCCAUUUGAAGAACAGCUAUAUAACAGAUUUUUCAAAGGAAGCAUUACAACAGAAUCAUUAUUUCAUUUAUUUUUUUUUUUUUCUUCUAGUCAUUGCACCCAGCCAGAAUGACAAUUAUGAGCUGCAAGGAAGGAAGACUUUCUUGAACUCUACUAUUCGUCUCAAAGCAGAAAAGCUGGAGAGGGCAUUGAAUUAUCUGGGGAUUCAGCCCACAGUUGAACAGCAGCAAACCCUAAGGCAGCAACUUCAGAAAGAUUCUAAAGGAACAGUGUCUUUCGGAGGUAAUCAUUUGUUAAUUACCCAGAAAAAUAAUGAAAUAGCCUUGAGAAGUAGGAUUCAUCUUGCUGAAGCUGCACAAAGACAGGCUCGUGGUAUGGAGAUGGACUAUGAAGAAGUAAUUCGCCUGUUAGAAGCUGAAAUCGUAGAGCUGAAGGCUCAGCUCACUGAUCAUUCUGGCCAAAAUAAAGAUAACAUCCAAGACUUGAGAAAGAGAGUUACAGUACUUGACUGCCAGCUGCGGAAAUCAGAAUCGGCUAGGAAGACCUUUGAGGUGGCUACUGAAAAACUACUACAAUUUAUAGAGGUAACUUUUCUUACAAACAAACACUUUUUUUUUCCUAUUAGUGACAGAAGAAUAACCUUAUCUUCUAAAGCACUUCGGUUGGGAAGGAUUGGACCAACUGUCACCACAGCUCUUGCAGCAGAAGCCAGAGACCUUGCCAAGUCUGUCCGUGCCAUUUUGGAAGUAGACUGUCUACCAUAUGGAUGGGAAGAAGCUUAUACAGCAGAUGGAAUCAAAUACUUCAUCAACCAUGUGACCCAGACAACAUCAUGGAUCCAUCCUGUAACCAGUGCACUAAGCUUGCGUUGCUCUGAGGAUGAUGACGAUGGAAUAAGAGAGUCUCCUGUGUCCAAGAGCUGAGAACGUUCUGCUGACAAAAAGUAGUUUGUCUAAUUUCAGUACAUUAGUGAGAAGAUGCACACUUUUUAAUCUAAUUACCUUCUACUCUGAUGUAAUAGUACCCCAUGACACUUCUCCCCUUGAAGUCAGAGGGAGCACUGCUGUUUGUUUAGGUGGGUUUGUUCUUGGGUGCCUCAGAAGCUGCAGAAGUCUCUGUGCAGUCCUUAACCAGCCCCAGUUCAGUGUGCAGGGAUCAGGCUUACACUUGGGAGCUGAUGCAGUCUUUUCAUGACUUCUGUAUUGGCAUAACUCCAUUGACCUGAGAUCAAAUUUUCACAGUUUUGACCAGCAUGAGAGUUAGAUUGGGCCAUUGGAUGUACUUCACCUGGUAAAUUCCAGCUGAUGCUUUGCUGAAAGGUGUGAGGUGAGCUUUUUCUUUUUUUAACCAAUAGUAGUGAGUGUAAUGUAGAUAGAUGCCUUUUGUGCAACUACUGAAUAAUCUGAUUUUUAUAGAAGUUUUUGAAGGAGUUUUGCUGAUAGAAUUUUGACAAUUUAUUACAAGUAUUGGAGUCCUGAUGACUUUUAAAACAAAUACUUAUUUUUAAACAUUUAAGUAUUUUAAAACAAACACUUAUUUUUAAGAUCGUUGGUUGGACUUUCGGAAAAUGAAUCUUUGAUAAGUUGUCAAGUAAAAAUAAACCAUUUGGUAGAGGACA